rnacentral:tRNA from 1 species
UGGGGAAUCGUCCAAUGGCAGGACACCUGACUCUGGAUCAGGUAAUCUAGGUUCGAAUCCUGGUUCCCCAGCCA